UACAGAGGGGGCAAGCGUUGUUCGGAAUUACUGGGCGUAAAGGGCGCGUAGGCGGCCGCCUAAGUCAGACGUGAAAUCCCUCGGCUCAACCGGGGAACUGCGUCUGAUACUGGGUGGCUUGAAUCCGGGAGAGGGAUGCGGAAUUCCAGGUGUAGCGGUGAAAUGCGUAGAUAUCUGGAGGAACACCGUUGGCGAAGGCGGCAUCCUGGACCGGCAUUGACGCUGAGGAGCGAAAGCCAGGGGAGCAAACGGG
rnacentral:rRNA from 1 species